CCUAAGCGCAUCCUGUCAUGCGAAAGUCCGAUGACCCGUAAGUAUGUGUGUGUGGCCACGCACAAGCACGCACCAAACCAAAUCCUCAGCGGCGCACCCUAAUCCCAAUCACACGGCGCACUUUAGCACCAAAAUUCUUUCCUUCUUCUUCCCCAUUCUCUCUCUCUCUCUAAAAGUCUCCGCCCCUCUUGGUGGACAGAGAGAGCCACCAAACCAAACCACACAAAAAUUCACCUUAUUAUAGAGCGAGAAACCACCUCUUCAUACCCACACACACGCAUAUAUACAUAUAUAUAUAUAUAUAUUAUAGAGAGAGAAAGUUGUUGUCGUAGAGAAGAUUAUGGGAAGCGGCUCUGUGACUGUACCAGCGAAGCGGAUGCCCGACCCCAACACUCACUCCUUAAAGGGACCUUCCAAGCGCUCCAAGAAGCCUUCAUCUUCUUCUCCGGCGGCUGCGGCGCUCGUCGUUCCGCCGGGACACGUGUCGUUCCGCCUGCUAUGCCACGCGUCGCGCAUCGGCGGCGUGAUCGGGAGGUCCGGGAGCGUGAUCAAGCAGCUCCAGCAGGCUACCGGGGCCAAGAUCCGGGUCGAGAUUGCCCCCGCGGAGGUUCCGGACCGGAUCAUUACGGUCGUCGCCGCGAGCGCCCCGGCGGCGGUGAAGAUCGCGUUGAGGAGCCCGAUUGGCAGCGGCGGCGGCGAUGGAGAGAACGAGGAGAUGGAGGUCUCGAAGGCGCAGGAGGCGCUGCUCAGGGUGUUCGACAGGAUUCUGGAGGUGGCGGCGGAGAGCGGAGCGGUCGGGGUCGGCGUCGGGGUUGUGUCGUGCCGGAUGCUGGCAGACGUGGCGCAGGCGGGUUCGGUGAUAGGGAAGGGAGGGAAGAUUGUGGAGAAGAUUAGGAAGGACAGUGGAACUAAAAUUAGGGUUUUGAAGGAGAAGCUUCCGGCUUGCGCUGCGUCUACAGACGAGAUGAUUGAGAUAGAAGGGGAUGUCUUGGCUGUUAAGAAAGCGCUUGUUGCUGUCUCUCUCCGUAUUCAAGAUUGUCCAAAGGCCGGUAAGACAAGAGUGCUCGGAAGCAGACAUCUUGAGACAGUUCCCCAAGAGACUUUACCCGUGGAUAUGCAUGUGGGUCAUAUUUCUCAGAGGCAUUCAGUGAUUCCUACUUUAACUAGCAGCUUUAUCAAUCUGCCAAGCAGCUCCAUCAACCAUCCAAGCAGUUCUAUCCUUCAAACCAGCUCCAUCAACCUUCCAAGCAGUUCCAUUGGUUAUGCUUCGGGGGUCCGUCCAUUGUCAAUAGAGUCUGAAAUGGUCCCCAUACUUAACACAAAAACACAGAAGCGUGAAAUUGUCUUUAAGAUUCUAUGUGCCAAUGAUAAGGUUGGGGGUGUAAUUGGAAAGGGAGGCGCAAUUGUCAAGGCUCUUCAGAGUGAAACAGGUGCUACUGUGAGUGUUGGAGCAUUUGUGGCCGAGUGUGAUGAGCGAUUGAUUAUGGUUACCGCAUCAGAGAACCCUGAAUCAAGAUACUCGCCAGCACAGAAAGCCGUGGUUCUUGUUUUCUCAAGGUCAAUUGAUGGAGGCACAGAAAAGGGGCAAGAAUCUGGCUCAAGGAAAGGCUCAUCCGUUACUGCAAGGCUUGUAGUCCCGACAAACCAAGUUGGUUGCCUAUUGGGAAAGGGAGGUACAAUAGUUUCAGAGAUCCGAAAGGUAACUGGUGCUAACAUAAGAGUACUAGGAGGUAACCAGGUCCCGAAGUGUGUCUCAGAGAAUGAUGGAGUGGUGCAGAUUUCAGGAGAUUUUUCAAGCGUGCAAGACGCGUUGUACAAUGCCACUGGUAGAUUGAGAGAUAACCUUUUAUCCAGUAUUGUAAAAAGUGCUGGAGCAAGGUGUGCGUCAUCUUUAUUAGCUGAUACUGCUCCUUAUGAAAGAACGAGGGACCCUGCUCCUCUUGGAAUUAGUGUUUCUCCAACAAUUGGUGUUAAUCAUAACAUCAGUCUACAUCCUACACGUGAUCAAAGCUUGGAUCAUCUUGGGCUGUCUUACACUUUAGAUCAUCCUCCUUCACCAAGAGCUUGGACAUCUCAGAUGGUUGCAGGAGUUAGUACAAGGGGAAUCCCUGAUGCUAGCAUGCAUAUGGUUGCUGGUGUUAGUACAAGGGGAAUCCAUGAUGCCGGCAGGGGAUUAGCUUCUCUGAAAGGUGGUUUGGAACUUAGCAGUGGAAGCAAAACAGCUAUUGUCACAAAUACAACCGUGGAGAUCGUAGUUCCUGAAAAUGUUAUUGGCUCUGUAUAUGGGGAGAAUGGUAACAACUUAACUCGGCUAAGACAGAUUUCAGGUGCUAGGGUCAUUGUUCAUGAACCUCAUCCCGAUUCAAGUGACAGGAUCAUUGUCAUAUCCGGUACACCUGACGAAACCCAAGCAGCUCAGAGCCUGCUACAUGCGUUCAUUCUUACGGGACCAUCAUGACAACUCAUUUAGGAGUCUUAAGGGGAAAAUUUAAUAACAGUCAGCCGCCAUUCUCCAAACAGUGAAGUAAAUCUUUUGGUUUUGCCUACCACUUACCAUCUUGAACAAAGUGUCUCUCCAGUAACCAGAUCAAGGAAGAUGAAUGAGAUUUGAGGUAGAACUAAUUUGACAACUUUGUUGCUGGCAUGGGAAUGGGUAUGAUUCCUUGAUAUUAAUGCACUCUCGCAGUUGUGGCUUACAAUCAUAUGUUGCUACUUUCCACUGGAGAAAGUGUUUCCUUGGAAAACUUUAAAGAAAGUCGAGCAUUUUAGGCAUAUUGGCUGCUGGAAUAUAUCAGACUCUUUGAGGUGAAUUCAAUCAAAUACAAGGUGUGGUCACUAUUGCUCGUGAUCUCUUGGCUAUUCCUCUUGGGUUGUUUCCACUAUUCUACCCAAGUCGGGUUCUUCGACUGGGGGUUGCAUAUUUGAUAUAUUUCGUGGUUCUUUUAGUCCCAAUACAGCUGUUCAAAUAUUUCAUGGAUAAAGCUUAAAUAUUGGAUUUAUCUUGGAUGACGAUACAGAAACCUCCUCCACGUCAAUGGGUCCUCCUUGUGAUUUUAGCUCAGAAUGUAACGGAAGUAUAAUAUUCGUUUACGUGCAUGUGUAAAGCUUCGGUGAAUCAUCGACAUCAAAAUCAAUCAAUGAUCCAUCAAAAACCCAUCAGUGGUUUACUACAAACUAGAGACUCUCUCAGCAGCCAGCCACUCCCCUCCGUUCCCCACCACCCGCUCUCUCUCUCUCUCUGACGGCGAGCGACGGACGGCGGCAAUCCCAGAUCCGGUGAAGCGACCUUCUCCGGCGAGCUCCUUCGGCGGCGACCAGCGAGAUCGAGAUUUUUUUGGUUAUCCUCCAAAUUCCUCUCUUUUUCCAGAUUCCGCCGUUCCAGAACUCGUCUCCAUUUCUUCGAUAUCUCGCUCGUCGUUGGAGAUCUUUGCUUUCACGUUUUUUUCUUGGUUUUGUUGAGCUUUGAUGCAGGUUUGACGGAGAUGAUGCUCGGGUUCGGGCGAGGUUGUGGGCGGCGGGGUCUGGACAGCGGGGUCGGGUUGUUGGGAAGAAGAGUAGUUUUGGGGCUGAUUUUGCGAUGGAGGCACGACUGGCGACAGAUCCCUCUCUCUCACCGUGAUCUUAACGGCGGCAGCGACUUCUUUCCUGGCUAGCGGUGCUAGGGUAAGGACUUGAGAAAUUUGGGGCUUUUUUAAAAAUUAUUACUACAUAUUGUGGGAAAUUUUAGAAUUUGUUUAUA